rnacentral:rRNA from 1 species
CCUACGGGAGGCAGCAGUGAGGAAUAUUGGUCAAUGGGCGCGAGCCUGAACCAGCCAAGUAGCGUGAAGGAUGACUGCCCUACGGGUUGUAAACUUCUUUUAUAAAGGAAUAAAGUGAGGCACGUGUGCCUUUUUGUAUGUACUUUAUGAAUAAGGAUCGGCUAACUCCGUGCCAGCAGCCGCGGUAAUACGGAGGAUCCGAGCGUUAUCCGGGUUUAUUGGGUUUAAAGGGAGCGUAGAUGGGUUGUUAAGUCAGUUGUGAAAGUUUGCGGCUCAACCGUAAAAUUGCAAUUGAUACUGGCAGGCUUGAGUACCCUUGAGGUAGGCUGUAUUCGUGUUAUAGCGGUGAAAUG